CACCUGUGUAGUGUUCCAAAGUGCUCAUCGGGUAAAAAGUCCAGGAAGAAAUAUCCUACCAACAUUUGUGCAGUCAAAAAACGUUCCUGCUCCAUAAUGCGAACCUUUAAGAUGUUAUGGCUAAUGUUUCAGCAUAAAAAAGACAGUUUUAACAUUAACAGAGGGCAACAGUAUUUGGAAUCGUACAUCUAGCCACCUGAUGCAUAGGGGACGUGGAGAGGAGAGAGUGGAGGGAGGAGAGUGGUCUUUUAAAAACUGCUGUACUAAUGUUCCUGAAACCUGAGCCCUUACUGGAUCUGAAGGGCAUUAUAAGACAGGCAUCCUCCACACCCUCUGUUUAAAGGGAUUGCUUUCAUUCAGGGAAGGAGAAGCGAAAAAGCCUCGAAGCAGAGCCCACUCCGGCUCAGUCCUUCUCCCUGUGUGCCUGUCCCCUGUCUCUGCUGCCGGGCUCAUCGACACGCUCCUCCAACAGACCGCAGCCUGCCCGCCGGACGGCUUCCUGCACCCAAUGCUUGUUACUGUGAUGUAGCCCGGUGCUGGCUUGCUGCCUCCCGGCCUCUGACAUUUGCAUGGAAAAAGAGAGGAUGAGCCUGGCUGUUCUACACCUGCGUUCAAACUCUGGGGUCUUGAGCCUCCCAAACAAAAACAA